UACGUAGGCAGCGAGCGUUGUUCGGAGUUACUGGGCGUAAAGGGUGUGUAGGCGGUUCUUUAAGUUUGGUGUGAAAUCUCCCGGCUCAACUGGGAGGGUGCGCCGAAUACUGAGGGACUAGAGUACGGGAGAGGAAAGUGGAAUUCCUGGUGUAGCGGUGAAAUGCGUAGAUAUCAGGAAGAACACCAAUGGCGAAGGCAGCUCUCUGGGACGGUACUGACGCUGAGACGCGAAAGCGUGGGGAGCGAACAGG
rnacentral:rRNA from 1 species